AGUGGCGAACGGGUGAGUAAUACAUCGGAACAUGUCCAGCCGUGGGGGAUAGCCCGGCGAAAGCCGGAUUAAUACCGCAUACGAUCCAUGGAUGAAAGCGGGGGACCUUCGGGCCUCGCGCUAUUGGGGUGGCCGAUGGCGGAUUAGCUUGUUGGUGGGGUAAAGGCUCACC
rnacentral:rRNA from 1 species